rnacentral:rRNA from 1 species
UACGUAGGGGGCAAGCGUUGUCCGGAUUUAUUGGGCGUAAAGAGCGGGUAGGCGGCUAUACAGGUCCGUUGUGAAAACUCGAGGCUCAACCUCGAGACGCCGAUGGAAACCGUAUGGCUAGAGUCCGGAAGAGGAGAGCGGAAUUCCUGGUGUAGCGGUGAAAUGCGCAGAUAUCAGGAAGAACACCAAUGGCGAAGGCAGCUCGCUGGGACGGUACUGACGCUGAGACGCGAAAGCGUGGGGAGCAAACAGG